rnacentral:misc_RNA from 1 species
UUCCGAAGAAACGGGCACCUGCCAUUGACUUCUGAUUGGAACAGACAGUUAAGUAAAGUUUUGAAUUAACUGUCACGACGGCAUAUUCCCCAGAUCUUGCGUGUAAUGAUGUACAGUACCGAUACAUCAAUGUGAUGGAGCCGGAGGAGACCUGUACCUUACCUAUAACGUAUCAACGUGAUGUACGCCCAGAACCUAUAUCACAGGAUUUAGCGUGGACCAUUAGCAUCAGAAGGAUGUGAAAACCAAUAUCGUGUCAUGUGAUAUUGACUAGGUAUUCUGUGUUGUACUGAUUAUAUAGUGUAUUUUAUACAAAACUAAUAUGUGCGACCUCGACCUGUGCAACCAUUUCUUGCGUAACUUUGAGCUGUGUGACCUGUAAAUUGUAACCAUGCGGGAAGAGGAUAUGGAGACGGCCAUCAAGGUCGUCAUUGUAGGUAACGGGGCGGUGGGCAAGUCCAGCAUGAUCCAGCGCUACUGUAAAGGAAUCUUCACCAAGGAAUACAAGAAGACCAUCGGAGUGGACUUCCUGGAGCGACAGUUAGAAGUAAACAAUGAGGAUGUGAGAUUGAUGUUGUGGGAUACUGCUGGACAGGAGGAGUUUGAUGCCAUUACCAAGGCUUAUUAUAGAGGAGCCCAGGCAUGUGUGCUGGCGUUUUCCACCGUCGAUCGUGACUCGUUUGACGCUGUUGAAUCAUGGAAGAAAAAGGUAGAAGAUGAGGUGGGGGAGAUUGGAAUGGUCAUUAUCCAGAAUAAGAUUGACCUCAUCGAUGAUACAGUGGUGAACGAUGAAGAGGCAGAGGAUCUGGCCAAGCGUCUACGACUACGCUUCUACAGGACAUCUGUCAAGGAGAAUCUCAAUGUGGAAGAGGUUUUCCGGUACCUUUCUGAGAAGUACUUAGACCAAAUCAACUGCGAAGUGGAGGAACCAGAGACUAAGAUUGCCAUUGGUCAAGGGCUAAUGGACGGUGGUGGUAUAACCAACAAUUCCAAGGAUAAAGACAGUUCAAAAAGUAAGAACAAAAAAAUUGGAAAUGGUAAAACUUCAAACAAACAUCGGUUCAAACUGCGGAAUGGUGAGGAUUCAACAAUUAAACUAGAACCCAGCAAACGGAGGACACGGGGCAAAAAGGCAAUCGUGACUGCAAAGUGUGUCAUAUUAUAGAAUCCUAGUGAGAGGUACUGCCUCGCCAUCAAACCAAAGGGGCAGCAUCGAUGUUACACCAGCCAAUGGAGUCUUCAUCUGAUCAUGUGACUAAUUUCAGGAGCCAAUCGGAGAACAGGUUGCUUCACAACGACUUUCUGAAGUGUUCAUACCGUGUAUUUAUUUUCUGAAUCAGUAACUUUGUUCAUUAUUUUGUUUUCAAGUUUUUUUGUGGUGUAAAAUAUGUUAUAUUCUAUAGAAAAUGGUUACCAAGUCUAAAUUAAGAUAACCCUUGGUUUUACAUUCUGAUCAUAGAUAAGUUACUGUAAAUCUCUGUUUCCGUUUUCACAGUUGUAGGUUCAGCAACUCAUAUGCAAGGGUUUUAAUUCAUGAAAGAACAACUCAGUAAAAUAUGUUGGAAUCAGGUGUCAUUUGAUAUAAAGCGAAUAUACAAUUGGCUUUUCUUUAGACUAUAUGCGAAAAUAUGUGUAAGUUUACAUUGUUUAGCUCACAACAGGAGUCAUCAUAAACUACUUUAUCUGUAUUAACCCACGUUCUGUUUCGAUGUUCAAAUUCCUACAACUCUGAACAGGAUUGCAGACAAAUAAUGCAUGUUUUCACAAUAUAAAUAUUUGUCUCUAAUCCUAUAUCAGAAUUAUAGGGACCAUAACUUGGAAUGGAAUGCAGUUUAAUACUUAUAUUCUUUAUUUUGAGGUAUCAUCAAUGCUUCGGUUUCCUUUUAAAUUUGAGGUAGAUCUUAAAUAAAUAAAGUGGGUAUCAGCCUGCUAUCUCCAAUCUUCAUACUUGCCAACUCUCCCUAUUUUGGAGGUGAAGAUGUCAUUCUAAAGUGAUUUUUACCUAGGGGAAUAUACACAUAUUUUAUUUAAUAUAUCAAAUCAAAACAGUUUUCUAUGUCAUAAGAGAGUAAAAAUGCAAUCCAGCAAGAUUGGAAUUCAAACCUUAGAUUACAGACUUCUAAAAUGUUGCUCCAACCAGAAGGGCUACCUAGUCAACAUUAUUCCUCUGAUCCAAUCCCACUACAUGUAUAGACAAUAAAGGGCGGGUUAUAGUGCUCAUGUAUUAAAAACUAUAGUGGAAUUAAAAAUUAAAUCUGCAUUUGGACAAGGAUCCUUCAAGACUCUUAGGUUACAGACCAACAACAUACAAUACAUUCCAUAUAUUGUAGAUUCACCUUAAAUCAAUCACUUGCUGGAAAAUUUAAACCUGUAUAGUGCUUGCUGUUGGUGUAAGUCUUUAUUAUCAACCAUUUUCAUCAGCAUGCAAACCGUUCACCCAUUUCCCAACUUAUCAUGCAUCAAACUUUUACAAAAGCCAAACAUGUACAGUACCCUGAUUACCAAAACUAUACAUAAAGAAAAUGAAGAGAGCCUUUUUAACUAUUUUCUUAAAGUGAGUGUUCAUUUUGAUUUGCACAGUCAUGAAAAUGUUUGAUAAUAAAUUACUGAUGACAUCUUACGGGAAAAAAUGUCUAUGCUUCCUGCAAUAUAUUCUUGUUGAGUAAAAUAAGCCUUUUGUAUGUGACUUCCUGUCAGAUGUACAUAGUUAUAAUUGCUAAAUGAAUAAACGAAAACACAACUUUGGAUUACUUGCCAGAAUUAUAAACAAAUUAUCCUGUACAUUGAUACUGUACCUGUGCCAUUAUGUACCUAGAAUCGUAGUAAUUGAUUGACUUUGUUUUGUUAAAUGAUACAUUUAAAACAGCCGAUGAGAGAUGUGUAACACAGCUGAUGAGAGUUGUGUUACACGGCUGGUGAAAGAGGUGUUACACAGCUGGUGAGAGAUGUGUUACACAGCUGAUGAGAGUUGUGUUACACACUGAUGAGAGUUGUGUUACACAGCUGAUGAGAGUUGUGUUACACAGCUGAUGAGAGUUGUGUUACGCAGCUGAUGAAAGUUGUGUUACACAGCUGAUGAGAGUUGUGUUACACAGCUGAUGAGAGUUGUGUUACACAGCUGAUGAGAGAUGUAUAACACAGCUGAUGAGAGAUGUAUAACACAGCUGAUGAGGGUUGUGUUACACAGCUGGUGAGAGUUGUACAUGUGUAACACGGCUGGUUAGAGUUGUGUUACACGGCUGGUGAGAAAUGUGUUACACGGCUGGUGAGAGAUGUGUUACACAGCUGAUGAGAAAUGUGUAACACGGCUGGUUAGAGUUGUGUUACACGGCUGGUGAGAAAUGUGUUACACAGCUGGUGAGAAAUGUGUUACACGGCUGGUGAGAGUUGUGUUAUACAGCUGGUGAGAGUUGUGUUACACAGCUGGUGAGAGUUGUGUUACACAGCUGGUGAGAGAUGUGUUACACGGCUGGUUAAAGAUGUGUUACACGGCUGGUGAGAGAUGUGUAUUCUUGCCUUAUGAUUGUAAAUAGUGUUCUCAUGUUUGAUUACUAGCGACUAAUCCCCACUCGACUGAUAUGUCAGAAGGUCUUUCCAGUAGUUGCUGUCACGCUAAUGUUGUGUUUUAGUGCUUGCAAUUAAGUGGAAUUCCAUGUGACAGAAUGUCAGAUGCUGAAGCAGAACACUGAUAUUAAGAUAAAAGUUUCAAGCUCAAGUGUUUUUACUGCUGAUUCACAAAAGUGGAUAUUAGAUUUUAGUAGGUUGUGUUUCAUGAUCUGAGAGAUCUUAAGUCAUAUUAAAUUUAUUUGAUUCAUCUUUUUCAAAUAUGAAUAUAAGUCCUUAUGGUUGUGCCUUCCUUGAUGAAAAGAUAUCUUUGUUCAGUUAUCAACUGUCCAUUUUCUAAUGAAUUCUUCACAGUCUAUGCAAAAAAUAUGUUCUCUUAUUGUUUUGUAUAUGUUUACAUACAGUUUUUACCUAGUUUUACAACAGCAUAAAGAUCUGAUUUGUUUUUACGCCUCUAAUAUUAAAAUCUUAGUCUCAAUGACUCUGUUAAAUGCAGUAUAAAUUAGGUACCCAUAUAUUAAAUCCUCUACACUAGGUGAAUGCCGAACUCAAGGUAUGUUUGGGGUACUCACUCAACCAUUGCCUUGUAUGCUGUGCAGUAAUUUGUAUGCUGUAAAGUAAUUUGUGAAAGAUUGGUGGAUUCUGGUAAAAAAUACUGAAUUAAUCCACUAAAAGAUACAUAAGAAUGUAUAAUAGUCCAGUCCAAUUAAUAGAAAAUGAAUUUAAUUAAAUAUGAGUAAAAUGUGAGAAGUUUUAUAUAAAAUGAUCCAUUAGAAAUUUAUAUACAAAUGGUCCAAUAUAUAACGGCUCUGAGUUCCAUUGCUAAUAAUGAUAUGCUAUACAGAGCCUUAUGAGUGCUACAGAAGGAGAAGCAUGUCUAUAGUUCAAAUAUUAGUUCUAAUCAGUUUGUGUAAAUGGAUGGUGUGGUCCCCCUGGGGGCAGAAGAUGUGGCCCAAUAAGGUAAAUACAGCCAAAUCUUUAAUCGUUUUUGUUCCAAACAGAAGAAUGGAUCGAAACCAAAUUUGAUAUAGAGUAUCCUUGACCCAAUAAGAUUCAAUGCUGUAUAACAAUAUAUACAUAAUUGAUUUCAGUUGAGAUAAAGGGCCAAUCACUAAAUCAGGGAAAAACAAUUAUCUAGAUCUGAUUAUCUCCCUUGUUAAUAGAUUCUAUUACUCUAGAUCUGAUUAUCUCCCUUGUCAAUAGUCUCUAUUACUCUAUAUCUGAUUAUCUCCCUUGUCAAUAGUCUCUAUUAUUAAAGAUCUGAUUUAUCUCCCUUGCAAAUAGUUUCUAUUACUUUAGAUCUGAUUAUCUCCCUUGUCAAUAGUCUCUAUUACUCUAGAUCUGAAUUAUCUUCCUUGCAAAUAGUCUCUAUUACUUGUUGUAAAUAUCUCCCACUGAAAUUAGCAUCUGUCCUCCUUAAGCAGAGACAUUUAGACAAAGUUUUUGUUCUGUACAUGUCAAUAGGAACAAUAUUCCUGAUGUCUUAACGGUACAAUAUUUCUGAUGGGGAUGGUACAACAUUUCUCAUGUCUGAUCGUACGAUAUUCAUUAAAAUUGUACAAUAUUCCUGGAUCCGAUCAUUAUGGGACAAUAUUUUUUAUGUCUGAUGGUCCAUAUUCCAGAAAAUUGUAAAUAUUCCUGAUGUUUAGCAACACAUAUCCCUGAUGUCUGAAAACAAGGGUUUGCCACUAUUAUCUUGUACAUUGUUUGUAUGAAACCAAAAAGUGCAAUAUAUAUUUUUGAUCUGACUUACACAGUUGUAGACUGAUGAUAAUAUCAGCUAUUUUGUAUCACUUAUAAAAUGUUUUAUUUCGUUUUUUACCUGCUAUAUAUGCACAGAUUGUAGUGUACCAGUCUGCUUUGGUGAAGUGUCAUUAUUUAGUCUCCAUCCCGUGUCUGGUAUUUUUGCGAGAAACUUUAUGAAUGUGAAGUUUGGCUAGAGUUCAUGCAGUAGUUAUCAAUUCAUCAAUGAACAUUUUAAACCAUUUUAUUAUUUCCAGCUGAUCGGUCAUGUUUCGUUUUAAGUGAUAGCUUUUAUUGAAUAUCAUUAUAGUAUUUGUAUAUCAAUAUUUACACAUAUCAAAGUGCAUGGUUUGUGCUAAUACUGGUGGACAUAUUGUGUUUGUAAAUGUAACCAUGGAGAUAAGAGCUGAUUUUCCAGGAAAUUUUUCUCUCGUCUGAUGUAUAAAUGAAACAGUACUUUUUAGGGGCCAGGUGUAUAAGAUACAGGUGUAUUUAUAGGGGCGGCUAAUAUAUAAAUAUAGUCUCUAUGUUUCUUAUGCCAAAGAAGCUUGUGUAAAUCUGGGAGUUGUCAUUUUAUCGGCCAGUUAAUAGAAAUACAGCACUACUUAGACUGUACAUUAAUGAAGAAUAAAUAAAACAAAAUAGCUGGUUUAAAUUUGCUUUCAAGAAAGUGUAAUAUUAUGAAUCGGUGAAGAGACAUUUUAGGAAUAGUGUACUUUAGUUGCUAUGGUGAUCUGAUUUAGAGGUUGAAGUUGCAACUUUAAGGUGAUUAGAGAUUUGAAAGAAGUCAUAUUUACUAUUGUGACCUAACAGGAGGUUGUAGUCAUGGUGACAUGACAGAGAGGAUGUAGUUGCUAUGGUAACCCAACAGGAGGAUGUAGUCAUGGUGACAUGGCAGAGAGGAUGUAGUUGCUAUGGUAACCCAACAGGAGGUUGUAGUCAUGGUGACAUGGCAGAGAGGAUGUAGUUGCUAUGGUGUCCUGCAAGAGGUUAUAGUUACUUAAGUAGUUUGACGUGAUGUUCAAAACAUUUAAAAUGUAAUUCUGUCUCUAUUAAGUUGACUUGCAAAGACUGCUUUUUGACAGUAAAUGUCAAGUUGUAGUCAGCAAAAAGGGUUUAGAUAGGAAUAAUAGAAUACAUCAUACAUUUUGUUGACCACUGAUAUCACUCAGCCUAACAUUCUCUCCGUGCGAGUGUAGAUUUGUAAUUUGUCAUACCAGUAUUUUUUGUAGAUGACAUGUUAUCUGCGUGUUUUUUAUAUGUAAUAGAAUGAAAUAAACAUAUGAACUCCAA